CGAGGGAGGUGUUUUGUAGGGCGGGAGGCUGCCACGCUGGGGGGAGGGGCAAACAGCAAAAAGGGUGUUCUUUUGCGUGGUCCUCCUUGGUGCUUUCGGCCAGUGCUGACCCCUCCCAGCUGUUGCACAACUUCCUCUGCUGCGCAGGACCACUGAGCAACCCAGAGACUGGAGACCGGCAGAGCGACUGGGAAUCUGCCAUCACCACUGCCCCCCCCACCCCACCCCCACCCAGGGGACAGGCUGGGUUCCACAGAGGAAGGGGAAGUGCUCCACCCAAGGUCACACAGGGAGCCAAAGGCCCCUGCACAGCCGGACUUCUGUUCCCCUGACCCGGAACGGCUGCUUGUUCAGACCAGGAAGAAUCCAGAGACUUCCCAUCUGUUUCACGUCCAGGAACACUGUGACCUGCUCGCCAAUGGCCUCGCUCUGUGUGCGUCACACCGACCUGACUGGCGCGAGGUCUGUCUCAGUCACUGUACCCCCCCCUUGCCUUGGGUCCGUGACCCCUGCCCCGUGGGGACCCAGUGACCCCCAUCACACUUUGUUUUCCCAACUCGCUGGCAGUCCUGUACGUAAUUUCUGGCCUCGAGAAGAUGCUGGGUCUUCUUCACAAUCAUGGUGAAAGGUGUGUACUCUGGACCCGGAGGUCAGGGAGCGGGUUUUCAAUGGAAAGAUCUGCUCUGAUGCUCCCAUCUCCCUAAGACUUUGGACCCUCCCUCCAUCCAAGCAAGGCAGUGCUGGCACGUCCCCUCCCCUUUAGCACAGGCCGCAUUCCGGGUCAUGUCUCAGCCAACCGAGCGACCAAAGGCUCAAGCCCCCUCUCGUCCCCUGAGCAGCACCAGUAAACCUCCCACCUCUGCUUGGUGAGCUUCUACCAAUAAA